rnacentral:rRNA from 1 species
GGGUGAGUAACACGUGGGUAACCUGCCCUAAAGUCUGGGAUACCACUUGGAAACAGGUGCUAAUACCGGAUAACAACAAUAGCUGCAUGGCUAUUGCUUAAAAGGCGGCGAAAGCUGUCGCUAAAGGAUGGACCCGCGGUGCAUUAGCUAGUUGGUAAGGUAAUGGCUUACCAAGGCGACGAUGCAUAGCCGAGUUGAGAGACUGAUCGGCCACAUUGGGACUGAGACACGGCCCAAACUCCUACGGGAGGCAGCAGUAGGGAAUCUUCCACAAUGGGCGAAAGCCUGAUGGAGCAACGCCGCGUGAGUGAAGAAGGUUUUCGGAUCGUAAAGCUCUGUUGUUGGUGAAGAAGGAUAGAGGUAGUAACUGGCCCCUAUUUGACGGUAAUCAACCAGAAAGUCACGGCUAACUACGUGCCAGCAGCCGCGGUAAUACGUAGGUGGCAAGCGUUGUCCGGAUUUAUUGGGCGUAAAGCGAGCGCAGGCGGAAAGAUAAGUCUGAUGUGAAAGCCCCCGGCUUAACCGAGGAAUUGCAUCGGAAACUGUGUUUCUUGAGCGCAGAAGAGGAGAGUGGAACUCCAUGUGUAGCGGUGGAAUGCGUAGAUAUAUGGAAGAACACCAGUGGCGAAGGCGGCUCUCUGGUCUGUAACUGACGCUGAGGCUCGAAAGCAUGGGUAGCGAACAGGAUUAGAUACCCUGGUAGUCCAUGCCGUAAACGAU